ensembl:lncRNA
GGAAACAGGAAGUGUGCCUCUUUUCCCCUCUGCUCCUGCUCCAGUGGCACAAUGUGAUCCACUGGCAAUGAGGGACUCCAAUGAGGCGUCCAAUAAGAUAAGUCUUAUAAAAUAUAUAGAUUUAUGAUAAUUAAGACUGAGCUAACAGAUGAGGAAUCCUAGUCAUUGGCCAAGCAGCUUUGAACCUAAUACAAGUUUCUGUGUAUUCAUUUGGGCCUUAACUCAGGUGGGCGGCGGGUGUAAAGCUCACAUGUGGCAGUGGGGCUCAGGUGGCUUUUGGCAGAAAGAUUUAUGGUAACAGAAGGGGCUAUUUGGGAGGAAGGACAGAGAAGUGGGAGGGAGACAGAGAAGGCAAAAGGGAAUAUGAUCAAAGAACAUUGUGUGCAGAUACAAAUGUCAUGGCAGGGCCCAUUAUUUUGUACAAUAUUUGUUAUUAAUUUCUUUAAAGAUUUUUAGCCCUAAAGUUUUGGCAGUAAAUUUGGUGCUAGGAACUGUACUUGCCUCGAUAGACAGGUUCUCUGCCACUGAGCUGACUUGCCAGACAGUGCUUUAUUUUAUGGUUGGGAAAUCUAUUGUCCACUGGAUGCAUUUAACUGGGAGUCUUCGUCUUCGUCGGAUUAACCCAACACUAAAGGUUCAUUACUCCUAAGCAGCAACGUGGGGAUUCCCAGGCACAUUUAGGUCUUUCAUGCAUCAGGAAAGAAAGUCAUGAAAUAGGGGAGUCAUAAAAUUUAGGGGGCGGAAGCUUGUUCUGGCGCAACAUGGAUCUUCAUGGCAGGAUGUGACAUGUGAGUGAGGCUACAACCUUGUCUACCAGAUUAGACUGCUGGAAGUAAGGACAUGUUUGAGAAAUAGCUUUGUCCACUUCUCUAACAUAAAAAAAGUCUAGAAAAUCCAAAGAAGGCUUGCUUCUCACAGUAUGGCAAUAUUCUUGGGGCCUUUGCUGAGGGACCAAGAGAGGAAAGAGAUUUAUUAAUUUAGGUCAAUUAUAACUCAGAAUAAAUAAUCUUCUGUCUUCUUCCAGCAAGCCCCCAGAACCCAGCUUUUCUUGACUUUCCCAGUAUGCUUUCUGGCUCAGAUUUUGUGUCCCCAACAUUUGGGGAACACAGAGCCUUUUGCAUUAGUUACCUGGGGAUUUGGGGUCUAGUCAAGGUUUGUCUCUAACACACCUGGAGAUCUUGGGAGAUGAGGGUUCAUUUUAACUGUGAGGUGUCAACCUUUGCCUCAUCCAUUACAUUAUCUCAUCUACAAACCCCCAGCAGCCUGUCUCAUCAGACUUAGGGAUUGUCAGUAGACAUGGCCACCUCUUCACAUUCCUGAUUCUCAGUGAGAAUCUCUGAACCGGAUGAUCAGAAUGUAUUUUGUAUUCCCACCCCACUCCUAAGUUUUAGGAUUCUACAUUUAAAUAGAAGCCUUGAAAAAUAGACAGAUGUAGUUAUCCUUGUAUACAACUUUUUUUUUUUUUCAAGACAGGGUUUCUCUGUGGCUUUGGAGGCUGUCCUGGAACUAGAUCUUGUAGACCAGGCUGGUCUCCAACUCACAGAGAUCCGCCUGCUUCUGCCCCCCAAGUGUUGGGAUUAAAGGCCUGCGCCACCACUGCCAGCUAUAAUUUAAUACCCAGAAAGACAUAAAAGAAGAUGCGAACUGUAGUUUUCUCUGGAGAGAGAAUAUAGGAACCUGAUAAUGAAGACAAUUAUAGCGCUGGUUUUGUUGUUCAUUUUUGUGCUACUGGCGAUUGAGCCCAGGACUUUGCACAUGCUAGGCAAGUACUCUACCACUGAGAUAUAUUGCUAAUUCUUCACUAUUUAACACAGAGUUUCGUUAUAUGGCCCAAGCUAGAGUGGACUUUUGAUCUGCUUGCCUCCGAUUCCCAAGAGCUGAGAGUAUAGGUAUGGACCACCAUGCUAGAAUCCUUGGGGGAAUUUCAUUUGACUGCAUAUCACAGAGUCACCAAGGAUGGGUUUUAAUCACAAGAAAGCCUUGGGAACAAAAGUCACAGCAUGAGAGGAGGUGACCAUGGGAACGUCAAAGUGGAAAACUCACUGGAUUCCCAUCACAAGCAAACCAGGAAAUAACCUGAAAUGUCUUCUAAGGCCAUACAGAGGAGGAGAACAAAACACAUGUAUCUAAGGAUCUAAGGGAAUCUGCUAACCCUUGGAGGGAACGGCAAGAGCUGUACCUUUUAGUCAUGUCCUGUCCUGUUCUCCCUCUGCUCAUGAGCAAAGCUCCACUCCAGGCAGCAGGCUCUGCUCCACUGUUCAUUGCUCUGGGCCAUGUGAGGGCUAGGCCUUCAGCUAACAGGGUCUGGGGUUUUAGAGCUCUUUGGCUCAUGACUUUUGCUUUGGUUCCAUUCUCACAGAUGAACCUAUUUUAAAGAUGACCUACUCAGUCCUUCUAGGGCCAGGAAUUCCUGCUGCGACAGAAAACAGAAUGGGAUGAAUAAAUGAGGCAUCGGAGUUUAGGUGCUCUGUUUCCUGGGGGAAAUCGCUACGCUUCUCUUAGUAUCCAUUCCUCCACAGGAAGUAGGAGGGGACAGAGACAGAGAGAAACAGAAAGAGACAGAAUCUGAACAAAUAAAGAUGACAUCUCAAACUGUGAUGAGACCUGCUGUCCCUUACUCUGUCUUGUUCUCUUACUCCUUUUCUCCCCUUCUCUUGUUCUCUCUAGCUUUCUCCUUCUCUCCCUCCCUUUUCCUGUGAAGAGUGUUUACCACCUGAAACUCUCCAGAAGACGUGGAGGGUGUCACUUGGUACCCUCUGUUAGAGUUUACGAUGCCCCUAUUAAGGCAAGAGGACUUGGGGCAAGAAUGUCCUGGUGGGAACCUAAGUAAGACUUAUAGUUGGAGCAAAUGGAAGCAAUGGGACAAUUUAUACACACGUGAGAGCUUUGGCCAGAAGAGUGAGGACUUGCACCCUGAAAAUGGGAGCACUUUUGUUUUCCCCCCAGUUUCUCUCCCUUUCCUGGGUGUGGAAGUACAGGAGGGAUGUGACCUCCUGCCAUGUGCCAGACCUCACUUGCCUUCCUGUGAACUCUGAGUUUCCCAGACUUUGGCCAUUUGCCUAAGUGUUCCCUCAUGCGCACACCUGCUGUGCCCUUAUUUGUUAAAUAGUUUCUCUUAAAUAUUUUUUUUUCAACUUGAAUAUCCACUUGGAACCCAUACUAACUAUUGACAUAAGAGAGUUUGUUUUGUUAGUUAUUUGCUAAGGCAUAUGAAAAUAAUGGGAACGGAAGAGUAUUCCCGUCUGAAAGCUCAAGGUGUCACGAUCUGGGAAUCCAUCAGUGAGGAUUCCUCCAGUCCUUGCAACUGUUCUCGGAGGUGGGGAUCAUUAUUAUCACCACACACAGGAUGAAACUAAGUUUCUUUGAGAGACUGGGGAACUUUCCCAGGAAUACAAAGGCAUCGAAGACAGAGGAAGACUCAAAACUAUUGUCCUCUAGAACUGUGCUCUUUUAUUUCAGUUUGCCCUGUAAUGGGGAGUGAGUGCAAGAAGAGGCUUACAAAAGCAGGGCCUUGUUCAGUACUCACCAAGACCCAAGCUCCAUCUGUCCUUCCCUCCCUUGUAGACGUCUUGUGUCUGUCCCCUCAGCAGUCAUGAUGCCACCAAACCGAGGCUUUGAUGUGUGUUUGUCAGGCAGUGGCUUUGUUUCCCAGCAUCUCCCACUAUGGCUAUGGGCUGUUCAGAGUUGCUCGAAGCCUUCUUAAUCUCACCCUUUCAGAGUCCCAACCCAGCUCCUCCUGAAUGUUUGGUUCUUGCCUGGGCAAACACAAAACUUUGCCUUACAUGGGGCCUUGAGAAUCAGUUUGCUAUCACAGUAGUAAGUUGUGGGCAUUAUUCUGGAACAAAUGGAAAGUAUUCUUGCAACUUCUCUUAAUCCCCAACAGUACCUAGUUGCCUAGCACAAGUGACUCACUUGGUUGAUAAACAAAAGAAGGAUUCCCUGCCACCUACCCUGUGGCCCCUUCACCCAGAUCUCCCUCCCAAGCACCUGGUCCAUGAAAUCCAAAGAACAUCAAAGGGUCAUGUGAAGGCCUGGCCUUGGCUUACCUCUCUGCUAUGGUCUUCCCUGAUAACAGCUAUGUCUGAAGCAGCAGAGACAGGGAAGGGUGUAGAAGAACGUGUGUAAUGAGCAGAGAACUGAGUUUACUAUGGGCCUAGAGCAUGCCAACCACUGUUACCGAUACUUGAGUCUAUUACCUUAUUUAGCACCAUCAAUAGCUCCCAGCAGGUAGGCAUCGCAAAGCCCACCCUAUAGAUAAAAUCCUGGGGAGAAACUUUAAGGGCCAUGCCCAAGGCCACACAGCUAUUAAAGAGCAAAAUGAAGAUCUGAACCUGGGUCCAUCUAACUCUAAAGUCCACAGACUCUAUGACCUCCAGAUGAGAGAGAAUGGUUUACAAAAGCAUUUCAGGGUUAUCUAAUCCAGUGCUUGCAAAAUUGUAUGCUCUAGAACACCAGUUUUUUUUUUUUUCAGAUCUGAAGAGGAAGAGGCCAACAAUUGUUGGGGAAAUUUGGUUAAAACUCAAUCAGAUGUUUUCAUUGUAGGAUUUUUGAGUCUUUAUGAAGUCCAUGUGAGUCUCCAAAGGUGCAGCAUGUCUCAUGGUCUACAUCACCCAAGGGCAUUGUUUAUAUGUGAAACAAUGCGCGUGUACACACACACACACACACACACACACACACACACACACACACACACACACACGGAGAAUAGUUUGGAAAAUGCUCUUCCUUCACACCCCUUUGGGUAUAAGGAGGAAGGAAGAGGUGUGCCCAAGUAACAAGAUAACCCAAAGUGAGGUGUUUCACGCACAUCACAGCCUCAUUUCUGUUCUGCUAGCCUGUUUCCAAAGAUGACGCUCGGUUUGUUGGUCAUUAAGAAGAAGAUACACCUGCCAGUCACCAUGGUAAACAAGACAUGAUAGCAACCUUACAGCAGUGUGUAGUUGGCAUUGAGAAAGCCAUGGCCUGGGGUUAGGAAUGCCCUCUAUAGGGACGAGUGGGUAGAUGUUUUCUGGUCCUGCAAUGUGCCAACAUGCCUUUUGGGAAUCUGAGAUGUGUUAGUGUUACUAAUUCAUCCAUCACAAAUAGCAAGCCAUUGUCUGGUGUCAAUCCCAUCCUCAAAAUUCCUUCUUGUACAAUAAUACAAGAAACAGUUGGCAUGUGUGUACAUUACUUUGGUUUCUGUUGACACUGUAUAAAACCCUUCUGCAACGUGGUGGUGGUGGUGGUGGGGUUGGUACAGCACGAUUCCUGGAGUGUCUAACCCCAGAACCAUUACAGAAUGUCAGGCAGAAAGAGAUCUUGGUGACUCAGCAAUCCAAACCCAGGCUGUAAAUGAACAAGGAAUACUGGAGGAACAGGACUUGCUGUGGUCUCCUGGUCUUGGAGACCCAGCUGGCUGGUGUACCUGCUGUACUCACUAGCCUGCUGUUUAUGUUCAGUGUGACAGCUAAGCCAUUUGAAGUGGAAAGUCAAAAUCCUUCUACAUAUACGUAACUGCACUUUUGGGUGGGUUACUCUUGGUCUCCGGGUCUGUUUUCUUACUACAAGAAGCAGAAAGUUGGAUUUGAACUUUCCCCUGGCUGCAAAUUUCUGUGUCUUCCACUGGAGAGGCCAUCUAGUCAAAGACCGUUUGUCAAUCUACAGAUGCUUCACGUUGCCACCCAUCUUGUCCACUUACUGGCCUUAUGUUCUCUGAUUGUAUGUUCAGUACUCUGAGGUCUCAGAUGGGUGGGACUUACUGCUGGGAAAGCACGCAUUAAAGCUAACAUGCUGGGACAAGAGCACAGACAUGGGAUAGUCGCCAUUAGCUGUCAUGAGGUUCUUCAGUGUCUGUUGGCGUUUCUGAGUCUUGACUCAGAAAGGCAUUAACUAUUUCUUUUUCUUCUCUUUUGUCUCUUUCAGAUGCUGGAUGGAGCCUACGUAUGCUUUUUCUGGAUGGAUUUGCUAGCACUGAAGACAGAUGCAGGUUCAGUUACAACAGCAUCAGCAUCAUCAGCAUCAUCAGCAUCAUCACCAUCAGCAUCAUCACCAUCAUCACCAUCAUCACCAUCAGCAGCAGCAGCGGCAGCAGUGGCAGCAAUGUUUUAGAGAUGUUGGCUAUCUUGUCAUUUUACAUUCUUCUUCAGUCUGCUGAAGUCAUACCUAUGUCAUGGACUCCUAUAAGUGAACAAGGUGACUACAUUUCCAAGCCCAGUGGCAGUAAGAAGUCCCAGCACCACUCCUUGCAACACAUCUUCCCAGAGUUAAGUAGACUGAUAGAUGGUGAUGACUACAUGGCAUGUUUGCAGCCCUUGGAAUUUAUGACUUGUUUUAUUAGCUCUUCUUUAGAACCUCCCAUAAGGAUGGCCAGUAACACUGUGAUGAAAUCAAGGUCUCAGUGACAACAUGAGUGUGACAACUCAUUGCUUCCAUGGAUGAGGUUGGGUGGUUUUUAACAUUAAUAAUGAAGAGACUAUGACUACUCCAGGUACCAAGUCAAUGGAAGUGACUAGUGUCGAUGAUCUUUGAAGACUUCUUCAUUAAGCAAAUAAUUUCCCGAGGUACUUUUUCCUCUGACUGCUGCACAUUUCGUCCCAGAUAUCUUAAUCUUCUCAAAAGGUAAGACAGGAAGUCUGAGACCUCGAGAAUGGAAGAGUCUUGCUCUAAGUCACUAAGUGAGUUGACUGCAAGGCCUAGACCACAGCCCUUGGCACAAAGGAGGUGCUCGAUAAACAGUGAAUGAAUUCAAACAUACAUUUCUCUCCUUAUCAUGCUCUACAAGAUACAAUAUUCCUAACAUGGACUCUCCUCUUCUGAGUUGAAGUGGCAUCCUUGUCCACUGUGAUAGAUGCAAACCGUAUGUGGUUACAAAGCAUUCACAAUGUGGUUGGUCCAUACUGACAUGAGUUGUAAAUCAAUCUCAAUAUAUUUUUAAUAGGUUCCCUUGAUGAGGACCAGGCUGUACUCAGAAUUGUAAUCCUUCUGUCCCAGUAUGUUUGAUUUGCUAGGACUAGCCUUUAAUCUGAAAAUUGAACACUUGCUAUGACAAAAUGGAAAGUAUCUCAAUAAUCUUCAUAAUGAUCACACAGUAAAAUGACAAUAGUUUUUGUAUACUGGAUUAAAUAAAAAUAUAACAUCAUGAAAAUUAAUUGCUGUUUCUUCACUUUUUCAAGAGGUAAAAGCACUUACAGUGAAAGCAUGAGGAUGUGUUCAACCCCUGGAACCUUUGUAAAAGAACAAGAUGUGCUAGCACCGGUCUGAAAUAAGAACCAGAAGUGCUAGCACCUGUCUGUAAUAGCAGGACUUGUAAG